AUUGAACGCUGGCGGCAGGCCUAACACAUGCAAGUCGAGCGAGAGGCGGACGGGUGAGUAAUGUCUGGGAAAAUGCCUGAUGGAGGGGGAUAACUACUGGAAACGGUAGCUAAUACAGCAUACCAUCAGAUGUGCCCAGAUGGGAUGAGCGAGUAGGUGGGGUAACGGCGCACCUAGGCGACGAUCCCUCGCGGGUCUGAGAGGAUGACCAGCCACACUGGAACUGAGACACGGUCCAGACUCCUACGGGAGGCAGCAGUGGGGAAUAUUGCACAAUGGGCGCAAGCCUGAUGCAGCCAUGCCGCGUGUGUGAAGAAGGCCUUCGGGUUGUAAAGCACUUUCAGCGGGGAGGCGUUACCCGCAGAAGAAGCACCGGCUAACUCCGUGCCAGCAGCCGCGGUAAUUC
rnacentral:rRNA from 1 species